CCCAGUGAAACCUGUCCUCCAAGUCUUUAAGAACGGUUGCCGACCUAAUGUCAUUUAACUGGCAAAAGGAGUCCCUUUUUAUGUAGGCAUGUAGGUUUUCUAAGUUUAAGCUAGCUAAAAAUCUCAUUUUAUA